AUCCUUUAACACCUGCCAAAAAUGGAUCAAAGGGAGGGAAAUGAGACAUAUAAUCCUAAUUUAUCCUAACAAUCAAUUCUAAAUUUUAGAAUUUUUUGUCCCAUAAAUUCUUAACCCCUGAAACCUCUCUCGACUUCUGGGAAUUUUUUCAAGACUGCAGACAACUCACUAAGAGAAAAGAAAAACUCUCUCGGCUCUCCCUUUAUUCACACUCACACAACACAACACACCAACACAAACACACGCAUCACUCAAUUCUUUUUCUCUCCUGGCUCUCACGCACACCCAUCUUCGGAGCAAAGAAAGGUGAAAGAAGGAAGUAAAGACAGCAAGCGAAUAAAUGGUUGAAACUUAAGGAUUUCUCCAAAAUUUUAACCAAGGAACUACAAUUUUCAUUGAGGUUUUGGUUGUUGUUGUGCUGUCUGGACAUCGGGCAAAUCAUAGAACAAGAUUAA